AACGCUAGCUACAGGCUUAACACAUGCAAGUCGAGGGGCAGCAUAAAAGUAGCAAUACUUUGGUGGCGACCGGCGCACGGGUGAGUAACGCGUAUGCAACCUACCUAUCAGAGGGGGAUAACCCGGCGAAAGUCGGACUAAUACCGCAUAAAACAGGGGCACCGCAUGGUGAUAUUUGUUAAAAAUUUAUUGCUGAUAGAUGGGCAUGCGUUCCAUUAGGUAGUUGGAGAGGUAACGGCUCACCAAGCCCACGAUGGAUAGGGGAACUGAGAGGUUGGUCCCCCACACUGGUACUGAGACACGGACCAGACUCCUACGGGAGGCAGCAGUGAGGAAUAUUGGUCAAUGGGCGAGAGCCUGAACCAGCCAAGUCGCGUGAAGGAAGAAGGAUCUAUGGUUCGUAAACUUCUUUUGCAGGGGAAUAAAGUGCAGGACGUGUCCUGUUUUGUAUGUACCCUGAGAAUAAGGAUCGGCUAACUCCGUGCCAGCAGCCGCGGUAAUACGGAGGAUCCGAGCGUUAUCCGGAUUUAUUGGGUUUAAAGGGUGCGUAGGUGGUUUGAUAAGUCAGCGGUGAAAGUUUGCAGCUUAACUGUAAAAAUGCCGUUGAAACUGUCGGACUUGAGUGUAAAUGAGGUAGGCGGAAUGCGUGGUGUAGCGGUGAAAUGCAUAGAUAUCACGAAGAACUCCGAUUG
rnacentral:rRNA from 1 species